rnacentral:rRNA from 1 species
GACGAACGCUGGCGGCGUGCCUAAUACAUGCAAGUAGAACGCACAGUUUAUACCGUAGCUUGCUACACCAUAGACUGUGAGUUGCGAACGGGUGAGUAACGCGUAGGUAACCUGCCUGGUAGCGGGGGAUAACUAUUGGAAACGAUAGCUAAUACCGCAUAAUAUUAAUUAUUGCAUGAUAAUUAAUUGAAAGGUGCAAUUGCACCACUACCAGAUGGACCUGCGUUGUAUUAGCUAGUAGGUGAGGUAACGGCUCACCUAGGCGACGAUACAUAGCCGACCUGAGGGGGUGAUCGGCCACACUGGGACUGAGACACGGCCCAGACUCCUACGGGAGGCAGCAGUAGGGAAUCUUCGGCAAUGGACGAAAGUCUGACCGAGCAACGCCGCGUGAGUGAAGAAGGUUUUCGGAUCGUAAAGCUCUGUUGUAAGAGAAGAACGGGUGUGAGAGUGGAAAGUUCACACUGUGACGGUAGCUUACCAGAAAGGGACGGCUAACUACGUG